GAUGAACGCUGGCGGCGUGCUUAACACAUGCAAGUCGAACGGAAAGGCCCAAGCUUGCUUGGGUACUCGAGUGGCGAACGGGUGAGUAACACGUGGGUGAUCUGCCCUGCACUUCGGGAUAAGCCUGGGAAACUGGGUCUAAUACCGGAUAGGACCACAUUUUGGAUGGUGUGGUGGAAAGUUUUUCGGUGUGGGAUGAGCUCGCGGCCUAUCAGCUUGUUGGUGGGGUAAUGGCCUACCAAGGCGUCGACGGGUAGCCGGCCUGAGAGGGUGUACGGCCACAUUGGGACUGAGAUACGGCCCAGACUCCUACGGGAGGCAGCAGUGGGGAAUAUUGCACAUGGGCGCAAGCCUGAUGCAGCGACGCCGCGUGGGGGAUGACGGCCUUCGGGUUGUAAACUCCUUUCGCUAGGGACGAAGCGUUUUUGUGACGGUACCCGGAGAAGAAGCACCGGCUAACUACGUG
rnacentral:rRNA from 1 species